UACGUAGGGGGCGAGCGUUGUCCGGAGUUACCGGGCGUAAAGCGCACGCAGGCGGUCUGCUAAGUUUGGAGUGACAGUUGGUGGCUUAACUGCCAAAGUGCUUCGAAAACUGACAGACUUGAGGGCUUCAGAGGGACACGGAAUUCCGGGUGGAGUGGUGAAAUGCGUAGAGAUCCGGAGGAACACCAAAGGCGAAGGCAGUGUCCUGGGGAGUACCUGACGCUCAGGUGCGAAAGCCAGGGGAGCGAACGGG
rnacentral:rRNA from 1 species